GCCAGUAGCAUCAGACACGAGAAAUUCUGAAAGUGGAUGAGAGAGGCUGAACAGACUUCCCUGUGUCCCAGGGAGAGCCUUCUCGUGCUCCCGCAGGCCCAGGUACAGGGCCCACGGGAGUCUGGUCAGCCUAGAUACAGGUCGUGAGCCAGGUCGGGUGUGGACCCAGAAAUGCCCCAGUCACCAGCGCCUCCAUCGCGAAGGGAAGAGAAAAACCCAGGUGGCUGGAGCUCUUCGCUCCCUGUGCUGGUCGAGGAAGACCCCGGAGACGGAGUUGCCUGAGAGCAGCUCUGUUUUCCAAAGUCAGUGUUUUGGCAAAGGACAGACAUGACGUGGAAAGGAAAGUUUUCACGAACUUAGGAAUCAGGUUCUUCAUACACGUGACAGUGGAGGCUCAUCACCGAUCAACUAGAGUUAGACUCUGCAUCUGCAUGUUUAAGAGUUAACUAACCCUGGAUCCUUGACAUACAAUCCAAACAUACUCGUGGAAAUUCAGCAUCUUUGCGAUAGGCACAGAAAGCCUUAGCCAAGGCAGUGAAUCUCACUGACAUUCAAAGAAUUAUGUCUGACAACUGGAUUUUGAGCAAUUAUUCUUCCUCCUUGUUGGAUGGGGCCUUGGACCCAACAGUAAAUAUUUGUGGCCUCAAGUUGAGUAGAGACACAAAUAUAGUGUAACCCUCUAAAUGCUUUGCUAACCCUCACCAAGGAGUCAAGACCUCGCCGAUCCCUUCAUCCCCCACCCUGUCAAAGCCCAAGGCCGGCAGGAGCCUGGGCUCCCACUGAGCCGCCUCCUUCAGGCCACAGAUCUGCGAUGGCCACAGCACCUCUGUCUUCUCAUGCUAGCUCCGUCCUCAGAGAGAUGCCAGCAGGAUGGUACAAGCUCUGCCAAGGAAGGUCUUGGGAAAGUCAAGCAUCAUCAUUAUUAAUUCCCCGCUGUUUGCCUGGGAUGGAAGCCACUGGAGCACCAAUGGAAGAGUCUUGACUCCAAUAAAUAAACACGUCCUUUGGGCAGAUGUCUGGACUGCUCCGGCUGCUGACUGAUGGCCCCUCGCCAUGACAGUGGGCGCACAGGGACAGCCCAAAGGCUCUGCCUCGUCACAACAAGCAGGCUGGAACCUGGGCCCGGUUUUAGGGCCAUCCCUUUGAAAUACACUGACAGCUUAAUGAAGUGAUAUUUAUGGAACCCAUGCCACUGGGAAGACGGCUGCUCCUUUUCUCCGUCUUCUAUUUUUAAUAUUUGAUCUGGCAAAUGCAUUAUUAAAGGAAUAUUUCAAAUCUGAUUACUCUUCUGUUUGACUGUGUGUUAUUCACGCACGCUGGGCGCCAGGGGAAAUUAUACCGACCAGUCUGGGAGCUUUACGAUGUUAUUCUUUCAAACAGCCCUCUGCUCCGAGUCUGAUUAAUUCACGUGAGAGGCUGUGGGCCCCCUCGCCUUAAUCACAGUGGCCUCCUCCUUUCCUCCCAGUCUCCCUCAAGGCCUGUUCCGGACUCUUCUCCUGGGGCUCAGGAACCUCCUCUCUGAGAAGCGGUCUCCCUGGAUAUCCACAAAGUCGUUCUGCUGUGGUUUUGGUUAAUCAUUGAAUUGUUAACUGAGCCUCAGUCUUCUUCAUAAGGCACAGAACAGUGGGCAGGAACUCGGAGUGUGCCCUGACACGGCCUCACCUGGGUUUGAACCCUGGGUCCAGCCACAGGCGUCAUGGUCACUUUCCUGCACGUCUCGUCUCUCCACUUUUCCCUUUGCAAGAGGCUAGCUCCACCUUGGAAGUCUCAAGCCACCUGAUAAAUCUACCCCUGGCUCGGCCUUUAGCAGGGAGCCAGAGAGAGCCUUUGAGCCCCACAGGGAAGAACAUUCAUGGGGUGGGUGCCGCGUGGCCCUGCCAUGCCACUGGGACUCAGGCAAGAGGCUUCGUCUCCAAAGGCAGAGGGGCACAGAGACGAGACUGUAGGCUCAGCUCUCGCUGACCCACUGAAGCCCGUGUCCUGGCUCUAAGACUCUCUGGGCCUCACAAAUCCCAGGGACUUUGGCC
rnacentral:lncRNA from 1 species